CCGCGGUAAUACUCCUACGGGAGGCAGCAGUGAGGAAUAUUGGUCAAUGGGCGAGAGCCUGAACCAGCCAAGUAGCGUGAAGGAUGAAGGUCCUAUGGAUUGUAAACUUCUUUUAUAGUAGAAUAAAGUGACCUACGUGUAGGUUUUUGUAUGUAUACUAUGAAUAAGGAUCGGCUAACUCCGUGCCAGCAGCCGCGGUAAUAU
rnacentral:rRNA from 1 species